UACGUAGGGGGCAAGCGUUGUCCGGAUUUACUGGGCGUAAAGCGCGUGUAGGCGGAAGCGCAAGUCCGGUGUGAAAGCCCCCGGCUCAACCGAAGAACGUCGGCCGAUACUGCCGUUCUUGAGGGAUGCAGAGGAGAUUGGAAUUCCCGGUGUAGCGGUGAAAUGUGUAGAGAUCGGGAGGAACACCGGUGGCGAAGGCGGGUCUCUGGGCAUCUCCUGACGCUGAGGCGCGAAAGCGUGGGGAUCAAACAGG
rnacentral:rRNA from 1 species